UGAGGUCUGACGACUGAGUAGGCGGGAUAAAGACACCCAUCCCUAGAGAUGUAUCUAGAGGCUCUCCAGCACUCAUGGGGUGGUUGGGGGGACGGAGUCCGGGGCGGAGGCGGAGUGUUGUCCAAGAGUAAGGAGGGGGGGGUUCCUGGAGACGUGGCACUCCGAGCGGGCUCGGUUCUACUCCGGCCGCCGGGGCUGCAGUCCCUCUUUACCCGAGAACCUGGCGCUGUGGCUCCGCCCAGCUCUCGCUCCCAACCCUUUGGGUACCCGAGACCCGGCACCUCCAGGACGGGGUUACCCAGGUCCGGCCUCUAGGGCGUCCAGCCGGCCCUACACUAGACAAUGCGGACCGGGCCCCGCCCCCGGAGGCUGAUGCGGCUCGGGCCGCGGCCAAUCAUCGCCUGUGGCCAGGCUCUUUAAAAAAAGAAGAGCCGGCCGCGGUGUGGCUGUCAGCUGGAGAGGGAUCCCUCCGCCCAUGUAAACACACAUCAUAAAGGGCAAGGGGAAACGUCUUCCGUGGGGCGGGGGAAGCUGUUACCUUUAAAGCAGAGACCCUUCUCAGGCCCUAGGUUCUCUUUACUAGCUUGGCAACCGCCACUCCCUCCGUGUCUCUCUGGGUUGGUGUGAAGCCUAUUAGUUGCUGCUUGAUCUGAGAGGAGUAGUAUCUCAUCAUUUCGGAUCACUACCGGAAAUGGAGGAAAGAGGACUAGUAGACCUUGAAAGUUGGGAGUGAGAGAAGAUGCCUAGGCCACAGACAACUGAGACUUUUCCUAAGCUCGUAUCCUCUAGUUACAUACCCACAAUUCAUGUAUUUCUGAAGUCUGAGAGUUAUAACAUACUUGGUUUCUAGGAUGCCAACGUCAAGGGUAAAAGUACUGUGUUCUCCCAAGGCAGAGAAUAUGAGAGGGAAUCAACUCUAGGAAGACCCUCAAAUGCGCAAAGGGCAUAUGACACCCAGGGCCAGGGCCAAGAGGGACAAUAAAGGAUUUUUCUCAGUCAACAUGACGGAUCAUCUCAAGUCCUAGUCUUUGAGGUCAGCCUGGGCUACAUCGUGAAUUCCAGGCCAGCUUUGGCAACAAGUUACUUGCUGCUUUGGUUGCAUCUCAUUGGCAGCAGAAGACUCAGGCUCCAAAUCCCUGUGGAGCUAAGAAAAGCUUUUCCUUCUCCAGGAACUGAACUGUUUUGGAGACCGGGUAACUGUGGAGCAUAUUAAAGAGUGAGACUUUUCUCCCCUUUACUGAAAA
rnacentral:sRNA from 1 species